rnacentral:rRNA from 1 species
UACGAAGGGGGCUAGCGUUGCUCGGAAUCACUGGGCGUAAAGGGUGUGUAGGCGGGUCUUUUAAGUCAGGGGUGAAAUCCUGGAGCUCAACUCCAGAACUGCCUUUGAUACUGAAGAUCUUGAGUUCGGGAGAGGUGAGUGGAACUGCGAGUGUAGAGGUGAAAUUCGUAGAUAUUCGCAAGAACACCAGUGGCGAAGGCGGCUCACUGGCCCGAUACUGACGCUGAGGCACGAAAGCGUGGGGAGCAAACAGG